rnacentral:tRNA from 1 species
CAGGGAGACAACAAAAUGUUUAAUAUUAAUUUUGUCACCUUAGGUCGAUCGGUAUCUCACAUUCUUAAUGUAUUAAGAAUUUCAUUUUCUAAGUUUUUUCUAGGUCACACCCAUUACUUUCCCUGGGCCAUUAGCUCAGGUGGUUAGAGCGCACCCCUGAUAAGGGUGAGGUCCCUGGUUCAAGUCCAGGAUGGCCCAUAUCUCUGUGUUGGGGGUAUAGCUCAGUUGGUAGAGCGCCUGCUUUGCAAGCAGGAUGUCAGCGGUUCGAGUCCGCUUACCUCCACUGAUCACCACCUCUUCCAUAAGUUGUAGAAGGGAAAUGUUUUUGAGCUGUGAUCAACUUCUGAACGAAUCUAGCUUCCUAAUUAUCUUUAUUAAGAUGCUGGACUCAUUGAAUUAAUUUCAUUGUUUUCAGAGAACCUUGACAACUGCAUAGAUUAUUUUUAAAGACAAUAAGCAUCUUUAAAGAUGCAGAUUUAUUAUUUGUGCGAAUGCAUUAAUAACAAUUCUAUUAAGCUGAUGCUUCAA